rfam:Zootermopsis nevadensis contig4413, whole genome shotgun sequence.
GCCACGGUGGUCUAGCGGUUAGUACGCUGGCCUUGUAAUCCUGGGGUCUCGGGUUCGAUUCCCGGCGGUGCCC